rnacentral:misc_RNA from 1 species
GAUGAAGAACGUAGCGAAAUGCGAUAAGUAGUGUGAAUUGCAGAAUUCAGUGAAUCAUCGAAUCUUUGAACGCACAUUGCGCCCUUUGGUAUUCCAAAGGGCAUGCCUGUUCGAGCGUCAUUUGUACCCUCAAGCUUUGCUUGGUGUUGGGCGUCUUGUCUCUAGCUUUGCUGGAGACUCGCCUUAAAGUAAUUGGCAGCCGGCCUACUGGUUUCGGAGCGCAGCACAAGUCGCACUCUCUAUCAGCAAAGGUCUAGCAUCCAUUAAGCCUUUUUUUCAACUUUUGACCUCGGAUCAGGUAGGGAUACCCGCUGAACUUAAGCAUAUCUAAGCGGAGGA